rnacentral:misc_RNA from 1 species
AAUUAAAAAAAAAAAAAGGAAAAAGAAACUUGCACUGUAAAUUUUGUUUAUUGGAUUUUUGAUGAUGAUAGAGAGAUUAAACUUAUGAGUUUGACUGGAUUUUUGCAUUGGAUAAAGACUCUUGAUCAAAGGAGGCAAUUGAAGUAACAGAUAUGCAGAAGAUCUUGGAAAUAAAAUUAGUGAACGGUAGAGAUAUAUUCAAGAAAAAAGUUUUUGUGACCACAAUCUAGUCGUGUAAUUUCAUGGAGGAAAAUGUAAUUAACAAUUCUUUGUUUGCCAAUGCCAAUAGAAAAUAUAUAUAGAUUUCAAUUUGACUUAGCAGGAUCAUGCAUUCUCCUUGACCUCACUUAUCCUGCUAGCCUCUCACCA